GUCUGUGUGGUGCCCCUGGGCUUCCUGGUGGACUUUCCAGUUAGGAGCUGCUGGCUCAGGGAGAGAGGGAUGCUGAGCUGCAGGUGGGGCAGGCCCUGCUGGGUCAGCACCUGCCUCUGCAGGGGAGGAGGCCUGGGAACUAAGGGGGAGAAAGGUUGUGUGUGAGCCUGGUGCCCAGUGUGGUAGGAGCAGGAGCCGCUCUCUCUGGGAGGCCACUACUGUCCCUGGAGGAGGGGGCACUGGGCUUCAUUUCCUUGUCUUGACCUGGAAUCCUGCAGCCCUUUCACUCCCUUCUGUGGUGGAAACAGAGACAGGUGACGCUGCUGAUGGAGACGCAGAGGAGCCUGAUGAGGGCAGGAAAAUGGGAUGGGAGGGAGAAAAAGUCAGGGCAUUUACUUCCCUCAGAGAAGGGCCAAAUCUGAUUUGAACUGAGGAGACAGAGAGAUCCCAAUGGCAUAGAGCAAUAUUCUACGACCAAUUGAACACUGACUCAUUUCCCUCCUUCCCCAGAACUCGUGAGCUUAAAAGUCCUGGAUCAGCAGCAGAGGGCACCAAGUGACCACACUGGAUCCACACAGCUGGGGUGUCAGCCUCUGCUGAGAGCUCCUGAGGCUUCUUAGGAAGUACAGAGGGUGCAGCCCUGAACUGACCAGCACUUUCCCUCUUGGUGCCUUGGUUACCUCAUCGCUGCAAUAUGGAC
rnacentral:lncRNA from 1 species